rnacentral:rRNA from 1 species
AUUGAACGCUGGCGGCAUGCUUUACACAUGCAAGUCGGACGAGUGGCGAACGGGUGAGUAACGCAUCGGAACGUACCGAGUAAUGGGGGAUAACUGUCCGAAAGGACUGCUAAUACCGCAUAUUAUUCGAGCGGCCUAUGUCGGAUUAGCUGGUUGGCGGGGUAAAGGCCCACCAAGGCGACGAUCAGUAGCGGGUCUGAGAGGAUGAUUCGCAACACUGGGACUGAGACACGGCCCAGACUCCUAAGGGAGGCAGCAGUGGGGCAUUUUGGACAAUGGGCGCAAGCCUGAUGCAGCCAUGCCGCGUGUCUGAAGAAGGGCUUCGGGUUGUAAAGGACUUUUGUCAGGGAAGCGGUACCUGAAGAAGAAGCACCGGCUAACUCCGUGCCAGCAGCCGCGGUAAUUC